CCAACCCUACAUCGUGUCUAUUGUGUUUCCUCUGUCGUGCUAAUGGGAAGGGAGACAAGUACUCUACAGCUUCUUGUGCCUCUACUGCUGACGGGAGGGAAGGGAGCGGAUCUGGUGAUCCGUGGUGACGUAGUUCUUAACACGUUAUCAGCAUGCUGUACCUCGACGUUGCUGUGGGAUCAGAUCUGCAUCAAUUCUCCAUCAAGCCGGCAGGUCAUCCGGCUGUGUCGAACUGUCCUACGCGACAGCUUUUGAUUCCCCUACAUUCGACCGGUAUGCUUCAAUUAGAUCUAUUGUUCUUAAUGUGCUUCGACCGGUAUGCUUCAAUUAGAUCUAUUGUUCUUAAUGUGCUGCCGUGCAUCGGCUCUGAUCUGUGCGCGACGAACUUACCACCUCCGUGGUGCUGCGCCCCGUGGCCUCCGGUCGACGCAGCACAAGUGUGCGCCCGUAGUCGCACCACGUCCAUCACGCCAUGCGCCUGGCCCGCUGCCGGCAUCAGCACACACACGGCAGGCGUGGGAACCACACGUCUCUCUCACCUCAGCACACAGUGCUGCGAGAUGCAGCACUCACCAG
rnacentral:lncRNA from 1 species